GAUGAAGAACGUAGCGAAAUGCGAUAAGUAAUGUGAAUUGCAAAAUUCAGUGAAUCAUCGAAUCUUUGAACGCACCUUGCGCUCCUUGGUAUUCCUUGGAGCAUGCCUGUUUGAGUAUCAUGAAAUUCUCAAAGUAAAUCUUUUUGUUAAUUCAAUUGGUUUCACUUUGGAUUUGGAGGUCUUUUGCAGCUUCACACCUGCUCCUCUUUGUGCAUUAGCUGGAUCUCAGUGUUAUGCUUGGUUCCACUCGGCGUGAUAAAUUAUCUAUCGCUGAGGACACUUUUUUUUUUCUUAAAAAAAAAAUAAAGGUGGCCAAGGGAAAUGCAGAUGAACCGCUUCCAAUAGUCCAUUAGCUUGGACAAAAUAUAUUUAUGAUCUGAUCUCAAAUCAGGUAGGACUACCCGCUGAACUUAAGCAUAUCAAUAAGCGGAGGA
rnacentral:misc_RNA from 1 species